CAAUCUCACAAUAACAAAAACAUCCCACGUUACAAAGACAUCCCAAUAAAAACAUUCCAAUUAUCAAUUUAUCAUAGACAAUAGAGAUACCUGCUAUGGUUGAUGAAUGGUGAAUGGUGACCGAGGAACACCAACGACCAAUCUAUUAGGGGCAAAGACCGAAGGAACACUAAUGGCCAGCAUUGAAAUCUUAAUUUUGAGAGGAAAGGGGAAUAGAAAUUGAGGAAUAUGAACACCGAAGUUUUGGAAGAAGAGGAAUUCGGUAGGAGCCAUACCUAAAAUGGUGAAUGGCAAUGGGUGAAGAUAAGAAGACCAACAUCGAUGAUGGCCGAUGAGAAAAGAUAGAAGACCGACAUCGUCGUGUCAGCAAUGGGGGAAGACAGAAGAUUGGAGUCGGCGAUGGUCAAUAGGAGAAGAUAAAAAAUUAGUGUCGAUGAUGGGGC
rnacentral:lncRNA from 1 species